GGCGAACGCUGGCGGCGUGCUUAACACAUGCAAGUCGAACGAAGUGGCGAACGGGUGAGUAACGCGUAAUCAACCUGCCCUUCAGAGGGGGACAACAGUUGGAAACGACUGCUAAUACCGCAUACUGAAGGAGGGGAUUGCGUCUGAUUAGCUAGUUGGCUGGGUAACGGCCCACCAAGGCGAGGAUUAGUAGCCGGGCUUGGAGGAUGAACGACCACAUUGGGACUGAGACACGGCCCAGACUUCUAAGGGAGGCAGCAGUGGGGAAUCUACCGAAAUGGACGAAAGUCUGACGGAGCAACGCCGCGUGAGUGAUGACGGCCUUCGGGUUGUAAAGCUCUGUUAAUCGGGACGCGGUACCGGAAUAGAAAGCCACGGCUAACUACGUGCCAGCAGCCGCGGUAAUUC
rnacentral:rRNA from 1 species